GGGUUUCCUCUUCUCCUUUGUGAUCAUUUCCCCAGGAUUAGAGAGACUGUUACAUUUUCUUUCAUGGGAUAUUUAUAGGCCAGGGCAUGUGUAUGUGCCUGCUAAUGUAAACUCUGUCAUAGUUCCCAUUUACUAACUGCCCUAGAAAGAAAUAAAUCAGAGAGCAAGGCACCAGGGGCAAGAAUCGUGCAGAAUUUCAGAGGUCUGGCUGCAAACCUGGAAACCUGGAAGGCCAGAUGUAAUUCUACAGGCGAUUGUUAAAGCUCAUAGGUUUUGAGUAACUGCAUAGUAGGUUGGUAUUAACUAGAACUCCUGUAUAGUUAGGACAGAGAGGAGCCUUCCUGCUCAGCUAUUCACUCUGAACACUAGCACUGGGCUCUUAAGAAAUGAUGUUUUAAGAGCAGAGAUCUUUUUUUAAUGUCUUUGAUUUAUUUUUUAGUUGUAAUUAGGUACAUCCUCAGAGAUGUACUUUCCUCCUCUUGUGCAGGAUGUGGAGGACUCAGUUCCAUCAUCUGGGGCAUCUUUAGAGUGUAUAGACCACACUGGUUAUGUGGCUUCAAGUUGUAAAAAUUAAAAUGACUUUAAAAGAAACUAGGGGCUGGUCCAGGAUCUUCACUGGUAAGACUGUUCUUAAGUAACUUAAGUAUCUUUGAAUCUGCAAGUAUGUAGGGAAAAAAAAAAGAUAUAUUAUUGUGAGGAAAUCCAUUGUUUAAAGGUGUGCGUGUGUUGUUGUUGUUUUUUAAAGGGAGGGAGUUUAUUAUUUACUGUAGCUUGAAAUACUGUGUAAAUAUAUAUGUAUAUAUAUGAUGUGCUCUUUGUCAACUAAAAUUAGGAGGUGUAUGGUAUUAGCUGCAUCACUGUGUGGAUGUCAAUCUUACAGUGUAUUGAUGAUAAUACUAAAAAUGUAACCUGCAUCUUUUUCCACUUGGCUGUCAAUUAAAGUCUAUUCAAAAGG
rnacentral:lncRNA from 1 species